rnacentral:rRNA from 1 species
AUUGAACGCUGGCGGUAGGCCUAACACAUGCAAGUCGAACGGCAGCACAGUAAUAGCUUGCUCUUACGGGUGGCGAGUGGCGGACGGGUGAUGAAUACAUCGGAAGCUACUUUUUCGUGGGGGAUAACGUAGGGAAACUUACGCUAAUACCGCAUACGACCUACGGGUGAAAGCAGGGGAUCUUCGGACCUUGCGCGAUUGAAUGAGCGGAUGUCGGAUUAGCUAGUUGGCGGGGUAAAGGCCCACCAAGGCGACGAUCCGUAGCUGGUCUGAGAGGAUGAUCAGCCACACUGGAACUGAGACACGGUCCAGACUCCUACGGGAGGCAGCAGUGGGGAAUAUUGGACAAUGGGCGCAAGCCUGAUCCAGCCAUACCGCGUGGGUGAAGAAGGCCUUCGGGUUGUAAAGCCCUUUUGUUGGGAAAGAAAAGCAGCAGGUUAAUACCCCGCUGUUCUGACGGUACCCAAAGAAUAAGCACCGGCUAACUUCGUG